UGCAGGGGUGUCCAUCAUCGGGUGAUUACUGACACCUGCUGCGUCAUUGCAGCAAAACUGUCUUUUCACAGUUCAAAAUUAUUCCGCUGGCAACAUAGUAUAGAGGUCCGGGGGAAGAUGUAGUGAGUGACAGGAAACCGUGUGCACCGCCAUUUUGGCAGCAUUCGGCAGACUGUUGUGGUGAAGGCAGCUAAACAUGGUCGAUAACUGUUGUGCACCAGGUUGCACAAAUAAACGAGCUAAGUGGAUCAGCGCCAUUAAAAGAGCCAGAAGCAAGUCAGAAAACAAGACUGAAAGAUGGGACCCCCCAGCCGUUGGAUUCCGCUUGUGCAGCGAUCACUUCAUAUCAGUAUGAAGAUACUUGUAAGGGAGAAAGAGUGAUAAUCCCUUAAAUCCGGACUUUGUUCCAUUUAUUUUCAACUACGUUCCAUCUCCAGAGAAGAGGAAAAGAAAAAUGAGACUGGAGGUUUUCAACAGACGACAGAAAGCAAAGCUACAGAAGAUAGAGCAGACAAAGCUAUCAGCCAAAGCCAUCCCUCCCAGAGCAUCAACCGAUUGUCCCCAACAAGGAUCCUCCUGCAGACCAAACUCCCACAACAGAGCCUUUGAAGGAAUCUACUGUUGUGGAAAAAACAUCACACUGCUGUAAUUAUGAAGAUGGAGAAAAGGGUAUAGAUUAUAUGACUGAAAAUGAACCUCUUAAUCACCUUUUUAAUUUUAUAUGCUAUAUUAUUUAAAACCAGAUGCAAAGCUGUUGACUGAUUAGUAUUACCACUAAAACAGAAGACAUAGAGGCCAAAUGUGGAAGACCAGAUAGAUAGAGUUUGAGAGCAACAGAGAGAAGUGUGUGUGUAGGCCUCUCCCAUGAAAGACUACAAGGCCCAGAUAUUGAGAACUACAAGCGCCAGACAUCAGGGGACAGAUUUAUGUCCUUAAACUCAGUUUAACCUGUGCAGCUGGGCCACAAGGCCUCACGUGGGCACUGGAUGGGAGAAAGUUAGGGAAAGUCCAGGCUAUGCAAAUUCAGUGACAAUGGACCAACCGAGUGUGAAAUGCAUACAUGAAUCUGUGACCACAUAUAAUGUACCAAUGAUAAAAUGUCAUAAAAUAAUGGAGGAAAAAUAUAUAAGCAAAUGUCCAGAGAAAAAUUUCAGUCUGAUCGAGACUCCGGGGUCUACUCACGUUUGUUGGAAUCAAUCCUUUGUGUUGGAUUCGAAUAAACACUUUGCAUCAUACUUUGCUGCCGUUUCAGUGCUGUUUUACAUUUUUAUAUUGGUUAAAAACGAGACUAUUAUUUCGACGACAAUUGGCGAGCUGGCAUCCAGGAGAUUGAUGAGACCAGCCUGGAUCCAUGGGGGACAAGCAGUCGGGCUCCGCUUUGGCCACAAAACUUAUAAGGUACGGCAGAACCUUUUUUAUCUGCUUAUUCUAUAUAUGCGUUUUUCCAAGUGCAUGUUCAUUCAAGGACCAGGUUCCGGUAAGUCUCUCCUUCAAAAGAACCUAUUUAUUUUAAUUAAAUUAAUAAACUAGAGCACUGAAACCGAAGUUUGAUGCAAACAUAUUUGUAUGUUUGUCAUUUUGUAUGUCUGUCCAUGUAUUGUGUGUGUCUCGUCCGUGUGUAGAAAAAUAGUUUAGCAGUUUCUUUAGUUUCCAAAAUAAUAUGUUGUAAAGAUGCUUGUACAGUUGAUGUAUAGUUGAUUAUCUGAAGGACAAGAGGUCCUUAGAGCUAGUGAGGCUCUAGAGCCAGCAUAUUCUCAAGGGAGAGAAUAAACGCACAGCGAUAUAUUUGCCAGAAUUCUUGCAUGUAGAUUCGCUUCAAAAAUAAUGUGUUAUAAGUCCUAAAGAUAAUGAGGCUUUAGGAAUAUAAUACUUGCAUGUAGAUUCACUUCAAAAAUAAUGUGUUAUAAGUCCUAAAGAUAAUGAGGCUUUAGGAAUAUAAUACUUGCAUGUAGAUUCGCUUCAAAAAUAAUGUGUUAUAAGUCCGAAAGAUAAUGAGGCUU